GUGAACAGGAGGUCGGCCAAUUGGGUUGAAUUGCAGGGCUCGUACUGACAAACUUCAACUUAAUAAAAAAAUUAAAGCACUUUCUUUGAAAAUGUCCAUUGCAAUUGACAUUUUUUUCACACCUCUUCAGAGCCCUUGGAAGUUUGAACCCAAAGUUAAUAAGCUAAAUGAAUUGAUGAGAAAAAAAUGUUAACUGACUGCUAUUGGAGGAGACCAGACGACUCUCGGACUGCACCAGCGCCGCGUUGGACAGGAACACCAGUCUGCGCAAACUUCAGCUUGGAGGGACAAACAGCUUGAAGAAAGCACACUUUGCGUCCUAUUUGGACAACUGAAUGAGAACAGGCACUAAGGAAUAAAGUGCUUUAAAAAGCCGGUCUUUGCGUGGCAGAGCGUGAGUGACAGGUCGGCGUCGGUGUCCGUGCGAGUGCGCAGCCUCUUCCUAAGGACCGAGUAGGCCUGCCGUUCCCGCACGGCCGCCAGCAAGUCGGCCGGCAGCGCCAGACGGUUC